rnacentral:lncRNA from 1 species
ACAGGUAUGAUAUGAAAAUACUAAUUACAACUUAAAAUAAGACACAAUAAUAAAAGACUCCACAAGAUUGUCAUAUCAAAACGAUUUAUUCAAAUCUCUUGGUAACUUUAUGCUGCAUCGAAGUUAGUAUACAACACUAACUCAUGGCAAUUGAACAACAUGAUCAGCGGUUGGAUUUGGGGGAAUAGGGCAACCACAACCUGCUUUGCAUUUUAAAUAUGUUUCAAAGCAAGGUCCUUGAUCAAAGGCAGAACAACAAUAACACAAAUUAUUUUUGCAGUUGAGUGGAUCAUAUAGAAGGCAUGUGCAUGUUUGCCACUUGUUUCCAUCUAGCUGGUUGGUACCUUGAGCUGCAUACAUAAAUUCAGGGGCUUAGGUUAACUUCUUAUCUUGUUUUCUGACAUAAAAUUAAUUUGAAACAACCAAAAUUUAUGAUUAGAUUUGCUUAAAUUGUUCACAGUGCACUUACAUUGGGUAAGAACGGUGAUACAUCCAAGGAUAAUCAUCGCAAAGACUACUACCCUGCUGCCCGCCAUCAUAAACUUCAACAUACACCACGCGUAUAUAUAUCUAUAUCACUCUCUCUAUUUGGUGAUUGCUUUUUGUCAGCUUG